CCUUCAAUUUGCUUAUGCCAUAUCCUCCACGUCUUCUAACUUUCGUUCCUCUUUUUUAAUUUUGAAAUUCAAAUUUUGAAUCUUGCUUCUUUAGCUUUUAGGGUUUCAAGUUUUCUUCUUUCUAUAUCCACUCUGUGUUGAUGAUGUUGGCUCACACGGAAGAGGGAAGAUUCGUCGGUGGUGGUGAGAUUUACGGGUUUGGUUGACAUCAGUGUUUAUCUUCCUCGCAAACUUGUGGCGGUCUUUUUCUUCCUCACAAACUUAAUCAUCUUCUUUACAAGAUUUUAGGGUUCCUUCCUCUUUCACAUUUGACCCACCAGGUGUUCGAUAAAAUUCUGCAUUGAACGUUUUGAAAUUUGGGAACAAACAACAACUAUAUAUGCAUGGUGAUCAUGUGAUUUUUAAUGUUGAAGAAAAUUGGCAAAUGGCUAAGUUUUAUAGCAACAAGGGACAUACAGCUGGUCUUUUCAAUUUGGGAAAUACCCGUUAUAUGAACUCAACAUUGUAAUGCCUCUAUUCUGGUCCAGUUUUCAAGUGUGGGAUACCUGGAUCGGUGUUUGUCUCUCUUUUCUCAUGCUUUUUAUUUUCAACAGGAUCCUUACAAAGGCAUAUUAAGGGCGUGUGUGGAGCAACCGUAACAUUGUAAACACCGUCGUGGAUUGAUGAAGAAGCACAACAGCUUUCUUAUUGACAAAAGCAUUUAGCUAACAUUGUGCCUCUGGAUUAUUGGCCUUGACAAGAGUGGGAAGCCGAAGAGUCAUCCAUAUAUCAGCCGGUUUUAUGAUGUUCUUAUAUGUAUUUGGAAAAUUUGGGGUCGUUUUUGCUUCUAUACCUUUGCCAAUCAUAGCAACGUUAUAUUGUAUAUUUUUCGGUUACGUCUGUUUUGAAAAGAGAAAUUCAUAUCAACGAGCUUCAGUGGUAAGCGUAUUGCAUGUUCAAGACACUCGCGUGCUGCACAAAGAGAGAAAUCAUGCUAUGGCUGUGGAUGUUUCUACUGCGGCGGCAGCUGAUGCUGCAGUGGCUGCUGCACAGGUUGUUGUUGUUGUGAUCCGUUUGACUUCUAGUACGAACGAGAGUUAUAGAAGUAUUGAAGAUGCUGCUGCUGUUAAAAUUCAAUGCCUCUAUCAAUCACACUUAUUAAGAAGUUAGUUUUAUGGGUAAUGAUUUCCUUAUUUCAUAAUUGGAUUGUUGUUAUAGUAUUUGGCUUGUCUGUUUAACAAUCCAUAUGCUUUAAACCUAAUGUUUGGCACUCCUAGCAUUAGGUUUGAAUGAUAGUUUUGAAACCAAUAGAAUAAUGAUUUGUUCCUCAGAUUUGUGAGGUUCGGUGAGUCAUUUGUCUUGCACUUUAUAUUUUCCACUUCAUAUUAUUUGAACCUGAUUAUUAGUAACUAUUAUCUUCUUUAAAAGUGUGUGUUAGUAAAUUUCGCCUACUAUCAAAUAUCAAGCACAAAAAUGGUUCGGUCAGUGUAUCACUUCUGACUGAACACCGACGGAAAGUGUAUCACUCUCAACCGCAUUGGCGAACCUUAACCCUUCCUACUGCUAAGUUAUUAUAUCAAACCUUUGAUAUCUUCAUUGAUAUUUUUUUCUGAAUUUUUGAGAAUUUGAUGUUUCAAGGAUGAGAGAUUUCGAAGGAGGAGAAGUAUGAGGAGUCAUCAUAUCAUACUUUCUACAAUUCUCGGUUAGGCAACGCAAUUGCAGACUAAAUAAAACGCCCAUAGAUGUCUCCGUAAAGACAUGACAACCACAAUUGCAACAUCUGAAUUAUUACAUUUGUACUAAUAAUACUUUUGCUUUGUUUGCUUCAGUCAUUCGGUCCAAGAAUCCAGAGUUUCUGAUCCGUGAGAAGGUCGGUAAGAGUUCAAGUUGUAGCCAAACAUACAACGAUCGAGUUAACAGGACGAGUUAGGCCAGGUUUGCUGUAAGAAGUUUUAUGUAUUCUCACUGACCUCAAAUGCAACGUCGUAGUGGCCGAAGUUUGGACUAACAAUUCAAGAAUGUCAGUAGUUUACAUCACCGACGACGCGGCAGGAUUGUCGAUAGACAAUCAUGACCGCCAUGCCAAAAUUAACCAUCUCCUACUAAAUGUCUUGAUAGUGCUUAGACCAAAAUAUUAGAAGCCUCAAACAUUCUUUGACAGUCAUCUCCAACUAAUGCUUCUGGUGAGGGUACUGAAACAAAAAAUCAAUGACUCCUCCUCCAUCAUAGGGAUGUUAGAAGAGUCUGAAUAUGAAUUGACGCAUUUGUGGUGAUCAUGGAGAAUGAAUAUCACGGGCAUGCUAUUAAGCUUAGGUAACAUCCUUCCUCCUCCUCAUCAACGAAAACCAUCUAUAGCUCAUCCUUCCUCCCGUAUGGACCGACUAAUACACUGGUAGUAUAUCAUUACACUUAAUAUUUUGCACUUGCACCUUUUCCAGGCAUCAUAAUAUGUUUUUGAAGGACAAAAUGUAGCCUUAAUUUUUUGUAACCGUAUAACUCUAUUUAUACUGAUAGUACUAUGACAAUAUACGGACUCAUAUUAUCUGCUUCAUGUGAACUACAAAUAGAUAAUGACUUUAUGUGGUAGGGUUUCUUCCUAACUUAAUACUAUGUCGUAUUCCUUAAUAAGAGACCUGUAAGAGUAACUACUUUUUAAUGUUUACUAAGAUGUUUAAAAUAUGGCUUAGUGUCAAAAUAACAUCAUGUUUUCUUAUAGUUUCAACUUUUCAAGAGAUGCACACAAUAAAUUUCAUGGAUGAAGAUAACACCAAUUGAUUUACUUCACAAUAAAUUUGGUUUUAUGUAUAUUAAAAAGUAUAUGGGAUGCUUGAUGUUAUGCUUAUUAUUGUCCAAGGAUCAAUGGACCUGUUGUGCAUCUGGUAUGUUUGUGGACUGUUAUGACAGUUUUAGAAACUGAUAUAGGGCUUUCUUUGGAUAGACACUACUUGCAGGUAUGGUUUUGGUUUACACAGUUUAUGUAUUUGGCUUGUAUGGUUUAUAGGGCUGGUAUGUAGUUUGUUGGAUUGCUUUGUGGUACCUUAUAAUAACAAACACUCCUACACCCUCUUAUUCGAAAGAGAUUUUAUUGCAAUGUCUUUAGCUUUGAAAGACUAAAAUGAAGCACAAGUUUAAGUUGCACUUGAGAGAGGCAUUCCUGCCAUAUCAGCUCGGGUCGACUUAGCCGCGGCGUUUUGGUUUUGUGGAAUGAAAGUCGCAUUUUCUAUUAAUCCAUUCUAUUAGUUAUUUAUAUUUUGAUUUGGAACACUUUCAGGUUUGGCUAUUGAUGAAGUUUGAAAUUUUAAGACUUUCAAAGUGCUUUUAUAGAGUUAUUUGUGUUGCCUGUUGAGAUUUCAAAUUGCUACUGAGAUAGCCAUUGGACUCCUUUUCCUUCACCUGACUAAACCUGAACCGAUAAAGCACUGUAACUUGAAACCUGUAAACAUUUUGCUUGACGGAAACUAUGUGAGCAAUAUUGGUGAUGCUGGUUUGUCAAGGAUUGUUCCUCCUUCUGUCCAAGACAGUCACUUAGUAUCGCAUGAAUUCUACAAUUUCUACAAAUCAAAAACCGUAGUAAGGUAACUACUAAUAUCUUCAUGAACCACAUCUCCAAACUUAGGCAAGUUACGACUAUCGAUGGCACGUUUACUCAUAUUCGCAUUGGCGAGUUUGAUCAUGCGGGUAAUUGUUCUGAUUUUAACCAUAGUUCUACAUCUUUGAACCAUGGAAGAUUUGAGAGGAUGGAACCAUCUAAUACAGUGAGAGUUGUUGAUUUGAGUGUUGUUUCGGAUUCGGGUUAUCGUAAUUCGGGUGUUCGUGUAAAGGCUUCAAGGCUUCAAGUGCAGUCUACAUGUUUGUGAAAUUGUCUUUCAAAUGAAAAUACUAUUAAAUUAUAGGCAAACAGUUCAUAUGAUGUUCUGCUUCCAUUUCUAUAAGGUUUUUGACCCACCUUGCUGCUGGUCUCAAGAUGACAUUGCUAAAGAUUUACUUGAGAAGGACAUACCAUAUGUAAAUACAAUUUCCAAAGCCGCUAAGUUACCUCCUUUGUAAGAUGAUGGACCUCCAAGUAAUUUCUACGGGAUAUUUUCUGAUAGAGAACGAAGUAACCGAAGAGGUUCUUGGGAUGGUAUAGGUUUUAGAUCCUCACGGUGAUGGGGUGGAGGCGAAGCUCUAAUGAUGACUUUUGUGACUCAAGGAGGGGUGGCAGAGACGAUACUUUGGUGAAUUAAGGAGGGGUGGUAGAAGUAGUUUAAAUCUGGCAACAGUUGGUCCAAACGAGAAAGAAGCAUCCCGAAUGAUUGGCUAAUUGGAGGCAACCAAUCAAGCAGGUCUCUAUCAUCACCAAACAGGUUAUAAUAAAUAAUAAUAAUAAUAAUAAUAAUAAUAAUGAUUCUUUUUAUUGUUGUCUGUAAUUUCUCUACCAAUUUAAGCCACUUAAUGAGCCUUAUCUGCUUGAUAUCAAGUUUAUGUUUAACCGGUCUGAAUUUUAAAAUGCAUUGCAGAAGCUUUGGAGGGGUAUUAUCUAUGCUUAAUUUUAUUGGAGGAAAUGUUAUGCUUCAUUAUCUGUUCUUUUUUUACCUUUUAACAAUGUAUAACUGAUCUGUUAUCUAUGCUUGAUUUUAACUUUUGUCGAUUUUCUUAUUUUCUAAGUUCUUUAACAUACUUUAACUCUUUCCAUUAAUCAUGAAGUAAUGUGCACAUUCCAUAAAUAAUUCAAGUUUGUAUUAAACUGAUUGUUUAAUCUUUAAAAAGUUGUAGCCCAUUUGCAUAUCCUGAAAGCUAGGCAAAUAUGCUCGCCUCUCAAAUAGAAGUGAAAAAACUCUAAAAGUGAGAGCAGCUGCUUUUUGCAAAAAAUUGCAGUAUUAAAGCUUGCCAUUAACUCCUAUGUUUGGUUGAACUUGAAAGAGAUGCUAAGCUAGAGCAAGAAGGGAUGCUUGAAGAUGUAUUUGGAAUCACAAGAAACUCAUUAAAGGACACAAAUGUUUCUUCCAUGAGAUACUUAUCCCUCACCCUCAAUUAACAUGUACAUAUUGCCUUUAAUCAAGAUGAAUGCUCAUGAUGAUGACAAUUCUUCAGCAUGUAAAACUGAUGUUACGCCUUGAACUCCUGUUGGGAUUUCUUUUCUUCCCUAUAUAAUAUGUUGUGAAUGUUAUAUUCGUUUAUUUUUAUAGGUUGUUGUUAUGUUACAAAUGAGUGAGUGGAAUGAGUGAAAGAAUGUUUUUGUUGCCUAUUUUUAGUCGUGGAUGGUUUUCUUUCAAUUCACUGUCAAUUGUUUCAUAACGUGCUAUCCCAUUGUUGGCUUAAUAACUUAUUCAUUAUCCAUAGUAAAAAUAUAUUUCUCAUACCUUGAAAUAUGUAAGUACACUUAAAUUUAAAUAAGUUUUUAUAAUAUCUUAUAAAUACAAUUAAUAUUUUUAAUUAUGUGAUAUAAAACAAUAUUUUUAAGGCUUUGUUAAUUUUUAUUAUUUUUUGUCUUGGAUGGAUAAUUUAUUAGUCAUAACAUGCUUAAUCUCCCUUUUCACUCUAACCGUAAUAUAGUAGACUGCGAAGAUAAUAGUGAUAUUGAUAAAAAAAUAAUUAUAUUGUUUUAAUAAAUAUAUAAUAUUUUAUUUUUUUUGUUAUUCUAUUUAUCUAUAUAUAAAUAUAACUUAUUAUAAAGGAAAUCUAAUUUUACUAUUUUUAACAUGGGUCUA